UCGUAUUGUACAAGGACCAGAAACAGCACAAGAUUAAAAUUCUUUUCAACUUUUUGAAAUUCUGUGUACUUCCUGAAGCUAAAACUAUUCAGAAGUUUCAAAACUUUGCCAACAGUUUAGAGUAGGAUAAACAUUUAAAAUCUAUACACUGGCUUUAUAACUAAUCUUUUGAUCUGUUGGAACUCUAGGUUUUUCCACCCUCCCCCUUUCUUUCCCCCAAGCUAUUUUGCACAGUGUUGCUUCUCCAGCUCGCCGUCUAUUUAAACAUGUUUGGGAACAUAUGGAGACCUGUGGUAAUGCUAAAUCCCCAUUAGUCUAGAAAUAGGAAUGAAUUCCUUUUAAAUCCAAGUUUGGUUGUAGCUUUAUAGAUUAUUCAGUUGUCUGCAUAAAUUAAAAUGUUCUUAUCUGAUUUAAAUUAUGAUUUUUGAUAAGAUCAAUCACCCUGGUGCAUUUAUUGUUUUAAUUCCUCUGAGCUCUUCCUCUGUGAUUUUGUCUUUUUUUUUUUUUUUCUUUUAUUCCUCUACAUAGUGCUCCUCCCAAACCCAGUUUUCCCUUUGUGAUGUUUUCUCUCCUCUGCUCCUUUCUCCUCCCUCCCAGCCCAGCAGAUGUGUAUUACUAAGGACUUCUAGUGGCUGAUAUUGGAAGUACUGCUCAGAAAUCCCCACACAUGUCACAUUUGGGCUCUCCUUGGGUACCUGGUGGCACAGCAACCACUAGAAAGCAAGAACCUAGGGCAAUAACUUGGUUGUUUUGACUACAUGACACUAUUUAUUUUCAUGAAUUUUUUACUGAAUCCAAGUGGUAUUUUAGGCUUUUCGAGUAAAACCAAAAUUAGUAAUGGAUGUUUGAAUCACUGCCAGUGAACUUAUGAAGGGAAGGCAUGCUCGCUCAGCUCAACUUGGGCUACCAGAAAAUGCUCUUCCAUGACCCCUGGGUAAAUGGGGAAUCCAUUGUCUCAUCUGUUUGCAAGUGUCUUCAUUGUGUCAGUCAUGCAUCCUUCCAUUUAAUCCUUACAACGUUAUAAAGGUAGUAUCUUUUAUUAAACUCAUUUUAUAGGUAGGAAGUUAUGGCUCCAUGACAUUUAAUAUGGAGAUGACACAGCUAAUGUACAGCAGAGCCGGGAUUCGAGCCCAUGUAAAUCUGUGCUUUUUCUGCGCCCACACCACCCCCAGUAAAAACUGGGGUUUUGACCACCUUUCCCCCACAGGGCAUCUGUAUGCAUAAGCCUAUGCUUAAUACUGCUGUUUUGUUCUACCUUCCCUCUGUUAUUGCCCCUGUGCUGCCUGUCUGCUUGAGGACCAGGUUCAUUUCAUUUUUCUCCUUUUUCCUAUUUGAGUGAUAGAGGCACAGUUGGCCAGUUCUUUGACACUGAGCUAGCUGUGACAGCCACCAUCCUUGCUUGAAGAAGUCCUUGCUUCUUCAUAUCUCUCAUUUGGCCUGACAUCAAAGCUGAAAAAGGUUACUGAUGACGGUAUGAACCUUUUCAGUAUGCAAGUGAUGUCAUGGUACAAAUGACUUUAUAUCGGUGUAAUCGAGUUCUUAACUAUUCAUUUUUAUCAUUGCCUGUUCAAUAUGUCAAGCUGUAAAAUAGACUAUUUUAAUUUACAGGCAUGACUCAGAUUUUGAAGAGUGAAUGUGAAAAUCAUGAAUUCUAAAGUGCAUCCUCUUCCAGUAGGCUGUGGGCUUUUUGAAGAUAGUGGCCAUAUCCUGUAGGUCUCCGUGUCCCCAGUUCCUGCUCUGGGCCGUGGAAAUGCAUGAAGGCAUGAAUGAACACCUUCAUUGGCCUUAAACCUUUUGGUGUUUACUAUAAUUUUCUUAGAACAGUGGACAAGUUGAUUAAUGCUUGUGUGACUCAUUUUAAGAAUCUGGUAUACUUCUUGAGAGGCAUGUUGAUUAUGCUUCGGUUUAAAUAAGUGUAACUAAUCAAAAUUUGGUGUUCUUUCUUUGAAUUAUACAAAUAAUCCAACCUACAUAUAUUUGGUUCCUAUAAAGUGAUUAUUGUGGCAGUUAGUGAUAAAUACUAUAAAGAAAAACAAGGCAGUAAAUUUAAAGGAAUAGAGAAUGAUGGAUUGGUGUUUGUUAUUUAAAAUAAAAUGGUCAUAUAAAAUAGAUGAGUAAUAUAAUAAUGCAAAAUAUCCAGACAUUUAAAUAGAAAAAAUUGAAAUCUAUGCUGAAUGCAAGCGUCAUAGUUGCUCACAUUUGAGCUGUGAGAACUGAAUCUGGCUCUCCCACUUUCAUAGUGAUUUUAGAGCCAAAAAGAUUACUUCAAACAGAUCUUUUCCUAACAUUCUGGUAAGUAAAAUGAUUGUGAUCCUUUUUUUUGUUUUGUUUUGUUGUUAAAUUCAAGAUUGGCUGUUAGAACAAGCACGUAUAAUUUGGAAUAAGAACUCAAAAUUGGAUCUUUUAUUUUAUUUUUUCCUCAAAAUCGGAUCUUUUAAAAUCAUUGAUAGGAACAUUUAAAAUACUGGU